rnacentral:sRNA from 1 species
UAUCUCUCCAUACGGGGAAGGAUGAGAAGCUUCGACUAAGGUUCGAUUCGAGCGCAGCGAGAAAGCGUUGCCGCAGGCAACGACCCGAAGGGCGAAGCGCGCAGCGCUGAGUCAUCCUUCCCCCACCACCA